rnacentral:misc_RNA from 1 species
UCCGGUUUGUCACCGGCAGUCUUCUAUGAGUCCCCGGCCGAACCGCUGGCAACAUAGAACGGGGGUUGCGCUCGUUGCGGGACUUAACCCAACACCUCACGGCACGAGCUGACGACAGCCAUGCACCACCUGUGAAGGUGCCCCGAAGGGAGACCGUGUUUCCACGGCUGUCACCUACAUGUCAAGCCCAGGUAAGGUUCUUCGCGUUGCGUCGAAUUGAACCACAUGCUCCGCUGCUUGUGCGGGUCCCCGUCAAUUCCUUUGAGUUUUAGCCUUGCGGCCGUACUCCCCAGGCGGGGCACUUAAUGCGUUAGCUGCGGCACCCAGGGGGUCAAUACCCCGGACACCUAGUGCCCAUCGUUUACAGCGUGGACUAC